GCUUUAUCAAAAAGGAAAAAAGAAAAAGAAAAAAGAAAUUGAAGCCAUCCCCCCAACAAACCCAUAAUGGACAUUGGACUCUGCCAUUCAUCUUCAUCAUCAUAUCUCAGCUGAAACUUGUUCUUCUUAUAAGAAAGCUUCUUUUCCUGACCACAGAGGCUUAGUAAAGGUCAUUUCACUGCCAACCCUCCAUUGACUAAAGAACAAAGCUCCUUAAAAGCUCGAGAAGAAAAAGCUUCUUUUUGGGUUUCGAAAGUAGGUUUGGGGCUUACCUUCUCCAUUUUCAGUUUCUUCUUUUGUUAAGGGAUUUCGGGUCUUCAGGGUUUCUUCUUUCGCCAUACCCACUAAAAAAAUCAGCUUCACGCUCUGGUUUUCUUCUUUUCUCUCUUGUUUUUCAUCGGUUUCUUGCAGAAGAGGGAAGGGAAUCUUUCAGAUUAUGUAUUAUCAACUGGAGAAAUUCUCUCAUCAGGAUUCUCUGGAAGUCUUGGAAGCGGAUAUUCAGUAUGCAAAUUCUCUGGCGGCUGCAAUCCCCAUGGCAAAAGGGGGUGUUUAUCUUCAAAUGAAGUUGGUUUAUAAUCACUUGGCUCCCAUUGUUUUGUUUUUGCUACAAUGGAUGGAUUGUUCUUGCACUUGCUUGCUUCCAAGAUAUUUAAACCUCUUCCACAUACUUGUGUACAAGGUAUAUCCAGAGGGAAAACAAAAACGAAAUAUAUCCAGGCAUGGAAGGAAGGCAACUAUUAGGGACUUCUAUGCUAUAAUAUUGCCUUCACUUCAGCGAAUCCAUGGUAGCUUGGAUAAGUUGGACGAUUGCAAGGAAGGGCAUCACUGGAUUGAGAUGUCUAGCAAGAAGAGAGGUGAUAAAGAUGGUAGGCUUAUGAACAUCGAUAUGAAACGAGAAGAUGAGUGUGGUAUUUGCUUGGAGCCCUGUACAAAGAUGGUUUUGCCGAAUUGCUGUCAUUCAAUGUGCAUCAAAUGCUACCGAAAUUGGAACACAAGGUCAGAGUCCUGUCCAUUUUGUCGUGGCAGCUUAAAGAGAGUCAACUCAGAGGACUUAUGGGUGCUCACCUGUAGCGAUGAUGUGGUUGAUGCCGAAACUCUUUCCAAGGAGGACAUGUUGCGCUUUCAUCGCUAUAUAAACAGCCUUCCAAAAGACUAUCCAGAUGCCCUCUUUGUAGUAUAUUCGGAAUAUCUAAUUUAGUUCAGACUUCAGAGUAAACUGUAUAGAGGGAAAUCCCAACACAAAAUGUAAAGUUUGUGGGGUCUUCCCUUGGAACUUCAACUCUCUGAGCUUAUCGUGAGUUAGUCUGUUUAUCGAUCAUGGUAUAUAAGUCAUCCUGUUUUCUCGUGUGGGGGUUAUAAUUAUGUCAUCAACAAGAUAGCCUAUGAUUAAUAAUCAUGGUUGGCUGAAGUACAAUAAUUUGCGAGAAAGUAAUCUGCUGUCCAAAGGAAUUGAAAAUGAUUGAAAAUCCACUUUGAAAGCAAUGCUCAUUGCAGAAAACAGACUGAGAUAGAGAAAACCGUGGGGAGAUAUUUCUCUGCCAAAAGCAUCAUCUUAGACUGAUUGAGAUUCUGAAAUCUAAGGUCUAAAACAAGGAGGAGGAAUGGUUAACAUAUUGACUUGGAUUGCAGGAGUUUGAAUAGCCUUUUCAUUUAGUACACAUUUGAGUUUUUCCUGAUGUUAGACUACACAUUGAGAAAUGAAUGCUUGUAAUAUUUUUCUGCUCAUAAGUUGUACCUCAUAUUGACUUAUUGACUUUGAAUGUCGAACAUCCUCAAAUAAGACAUAGACUUAAGACA